rnacentral:rRNA from 1 species
UACGGGGGGGGGCAAGCGUUGUUCGGAAUUACUGGGCGUAAAGGGCUCGUAGGCGGCCAACUAAGUCAGACGUGAAAUCCCCAGGCUCAACCUGGGAACUGCGUCUGAUACUGGAUGGCUUGAAUCCGGGAGAGGGAUGCAGAAUUCCAGGUGUAGCGGUGAAAUGCGUAGAUAUCUGGAGGAACACCGGUGGCGAAGGCGGCAUCCUGGACCGGCAUUGACGCUGAGGCGCGAAAGCUAGGGGAGCAAACGGG